UACGUAGGGUGCGAGCGUUGUCCGGAAUUAUUGGGCGUAAAGGGCUCGUAGGCGGUCUGUCACGUCGGGAGUGAAAACUCGGGGCUCAACCCCGAGCCUGCUUCCGAUACGGGCAGACUAGAGGUAUGCAGGGGGGAAUGGAAUUCCUGGUGUAGCGGUGAAAUGCGCAGAUAUCAGGAGGAACACCGGUGGCGAAGGCGGUUCUCUGGGCAUUACCUGACGCUGAGGAGCGAAAGUGUGGGGAGCGAACAGG
rnacentral:rRNA from 1 species